rnacentral:rRNA from 1 species
CAGCCGCCGCGGUAAUACAGAGGGUGCGAGCGUUAAUCGGAUUUACUGGGCGUAAAGCGUGCGUAGGCGGCUAAUUGAGUCGGAUGUGAAAUCCCCGAGCUUAACUUGGGAAUUGCAUUCGAUACUGGUUAGCUAGAGUGUGGGAGAGGAUGGUAGAAUUCCAGGUGUAGCGGUGAAAUGCGUAGAGAUCUGGAGGAAUACCGAUGGCGAAGGCAGCCAUCUGGCCUAACACUGACGCUGAGGUACGAAAGCAUGGGGAGCAAACAGGAUUAGAGACCCCCGUAGUCCCUGUCUCUUAUAA